rnacentral:rRNA from 1 species
AUGAACCGCAAACUCCCGCCGUUCCCCCACCUCACACUCCGCUUCUCCUCCUCCUCCAGCUCCGCAUCGCCUUCCCCGCCGCCGCCUCGCCGCCUCCCACCUCCAGUGCCACUACGUGACCUCCUCGCCCACCGUCUCCCACUUCUGCAUUCGCCCGCCCCUCCUCCUCGAUCGUCACCGCCGGUGCACCCUCACGCUGACCUCCUCCUCCGUCGCCGCAGCGGAGAGGCUACACCGGAGAGCCUCCACCUUGAGCUCGUGAAGCGAGGGCUCACCAAUGAUCUCUUCCUCUCAAACCAUCUCGUUAAUUCCUACGCUAAAAGCUCGCGUCUGGCCUGCGCGCGCCAGGUGUUCGACUGUAUGCUGGAACGGAACGCCGUUUCCUGGACCUGCCUGGUAUCUGGGUACGUGCUGUCAGGGAUCACCGAUGAGGCCUUCCGGGUGUUCCGCGCAAUGCUGGGGGUCGGUUCCGAGUGCAGCAGGCCCACGUCAUUUACCUUUGGGAGCGUGCUCCGGGCGUGCCAGGAUGCUGGACCAGACAAGUUGGGAUUUGCGGUGCAGGUCCAUGGAUUGGUAUCAAAGACUGUGUAUGCAUUGAAUACAACGGUGUGCAACGCCUUGAUCUCGAUGUACGGUAAUUGCUCUGUUGGUCUGCCCAUCCAAGCGCAGCAGGUGUUUGAUUCCACACCAGUCAGGGACAUCAUCACGUGGAAUGCCUUGAUGUCUGUCUAUGCUAAGAAAGGGCAUGUGGUUUCGACAUUUACCUCGUUCACGGCAAUGUUGCGUGAUGACUCAGCAAUUGAGUUGAGACCAAACGAGCAUACUUUUGGGAGCUUAAUCACUGCGACAACUGUGUCCUCCUGCAGCUCAAGAGUGCUUGAGCAAGUGUUUGCAAGGGUGCUCAAUUCGGGCAGCUCAAGUGACCUCUAUGUGGGGAGUGCUCUUGUUAGUGCAUUCGCGAGACAUGGCAUGCUUGAUGAAGCUAAGAACAUUUUUCUCAGUUUGAAAGAGAGAAAUGCAGUUACCUUGAAUGGUUUGAUCGUGGGCUUGGUUAAGCAGCACUGCAGUGUAGAAGCAGUUAGGAUUUUCAUGGGGACUAGGGAUUCAGUUGUUGUCAAUGCAGACACAUAUGUUGUGUUGCUCGGUGCGAUAGCGGAGUUUUCUGUACCAGAAGAUGGGUUGAUGAAAGGUACGGAACUCCAUGGGCAUGUUCUUAGAACUGGACUUAUUGAUUUGAAAAUUGCUAUCAGUAAUAGUCUGGUUAAUAUGUACGCCAAAUGUGGUGCCAUUGAUAAAGCCUGUAGAGUUUUCCAGUCGCUUUGUACAAGGGAUCGGGUUUCCUGGAACACCAUUAUCUCAGUUCUUGAUCAGAAUGGUUACUGUGAAGGUGCAAUGAUGAAGUACUGCAUGAUGAGACAAGAUUGUAUAAGUCCGUCAAACUUUGCAGCAAUUAGUGGCUUGAGUUCAUGUGCAAGUUUGAGACUUUUGUCUGUGGGCCAGCAAGUGCAUUGUGAUGCUGUAAAGUGGGGACUGGAUUUAGACACCUCUGUUUCAAAUGCACUAGUUAAAAUGUAUGGAGAAUGUGGAGCUAGGUCUGAGUGCUGGGAAGUUUUCAACUCUAUGGCUCAACAUGAUGUAGUUUCCUGGAACUCUAUCAUGGGUGUCAUGGCCAAUUUGCGAGCACCUAUUGCUGAAUCGGUAGAAGUUUUCUCCAAAAUGAUGAGGAGUGGGCUGGCCCCAAAUAAAGUUACAUUCGUUAACUUAUUGGCUACAUUGUCGCCAUUGUGUGUGCUUGAAUUGGGAAAGCAGGUUCAUGCUGUGGUGCUAAAGCAUGUAGCUAUAGAAGAUACUGCAGUUAAUAAUGCUCUAAUGUCCUGUUAUGCUAAGUCAGGAGACAUGGAUUCUUGUGAGCAGCUGUUUUCGGAAAUUUCUGGCAGAAGGGAUGCUGUCUCAUGGAAUUCAAUGAUUUCAGGGUACAUCUACAAUGGCCAUUUGCAGGAGGCUAUAGACUGUGUUUGGCUUAUGAUGCACAGUGACCAAGUGAUGGAUUGCUGCACCUUCUCCAUUGUACUGAAUGCAUGUGCCUCUGUGGCAGCGUUAGAGCGUGGAAUGGAGAUGCACGCUUUUGGUAUUAGGUCACAGCUCGAGUCUGAUGUUGUGGUUGAGAGUGCUCUUGUUGAUAUGUACUCAAAGUGUGGAAAGAUAGGCUAUGCCUCAAAGGUGUUCAGUUCCAUGAGUCAGAAAAAUGAGUUCUCAUGGAACUCUAUGAUUUCUGGUUAUGCAAGACAUGGUCUUGGAAGAAAAGCUUUGGAGAUAUUUGAAGAAAUGCAGCAAAGUGGAGCAAAUCCAGACCAUGUCACAUUUAUAAGUGUUCUAUCUGCCUGUAGUCAUGCUGGAUUGGUAGACAGAGGUCUAGAGUACUUUGAAAUGAUGGAGGACCAUGGUAUAUUACCUCAGAUUGAACAUUAUUCUUGUGUUAUAGACCUUCUUGGUCGAGCUGGCAAGCUCAUCAAGAUACGAGAAUACAUCAGAAGAAUGCCAAUGAAACCAAAUACUCUCAUAUGGAGGACUGUAUUAGUUGCUUGUCGACAAUGGAAGGACAGGGACAAGAUAGAUAUGGGGCUAGAAGCUUCAAGGAUGCUUUUGGAACUAGAACCUCAAAAUCCUGUAAACUAUGUUCUUGCAUCUAACUUUUAUGCAGCAACAGGAAGGUGGGAAGAUACAGCCAAAACCCGAGCUGUAAUGGGGGGAGCAGCAGUGAAAAAAGAGGCUGGUCGCAGUUGGGUAACCCUAGGUGAUGGGGUUCAUACCUUUAUUGCUGGAGAUAGAUCACAUCCGAACACCAAAGAAAUAUAUGAAAAGCUGAGUGUUUUGAUUCAGAAGAUAAGGAGUGCUGGUUAUGUUCCAAUGACAGAGUUUGCCCUGUAUGAUCUUGAAGAAGAGAACAAAGAGGAAUUGCUAAAUUAUCAUAGUGAAAAGCUUACAGUUGCCUUUGUUUUGACUCGCUCCUCCUCAGGUGUCCCCAUAAGAAUCAUGAAGAACCUUCGGGUUUGUGGAGAUUGUCACACGGCAUUUAGGUACAUAUCUCACGCUAUUGGCCGGCAAAUCAUUUUAAGGGAUGCCAUCCGAUUCCACCAUUUUGAGGAUGGUAAGUGUUCUUGUGGGGAUUACUGGUAG